GAAAAACCGUUGAAAAAGAGUAGUAGGUUAGCGAAAUGCAUUCAGAGAGCCUCCGGUGGUGGGAUGGAGACAGCAGGCAGUUAAUUGAAUGGACUUUUGAGGGCGGCUUCGAAGUUUAACGUAGAGGCCGACGGGGAUCCGAACCCGUUACCAGUUCGGCGUGUAUGCCAGUACAUGAGUGAGUGGACGUUCGUCAAUUUGAGUGGUACCGCGAUAAUAAGAUUUUAUUACCGUCUCAAGC
rnacentral:ncRNA from 1 species